AAAACGAAACCACGUUUUUCAAGAAUAAAAUUGCCUGUGAUCUAACUGUAGAGAAUUACAAUCCGCCGCGCACGGUAGAGAUGAAUCGGAAAUUUGGUGGUGGCAAGCAGCCGACGGGAACUCCGUCACUGGCAUGGUCAACCAUCGUCGUCGUUGCGUCCCUCCUCGCCGGAGCUUCGGUUGUGCACAAUAUCUACAAGCCUGAUUUGAGACUCUCUCCGGUGGGAAACGUCGAUGAGCAUGAGGCGGACCAAGUGGAGAAGCUGCAGAACUGAGAUUUUUUUUAUGCAGAAUUUCAGGAAUUGAUUGAAUAAUUGUGUCAUACUCCAUCAUCUCUAGCAUAGAUAGAUGAUGGAAUAUAUAUUGUCUUUACUUACUUUUACUUGUUAUGUACUUGAGGAUAGCAUUCUCGCAAACUCUAAUGCUUCAUUUGGAUCGAAAAAUCGGAACAUUUAAAUGGGGAAUUUCAAAUCAAUACAACAAGAUUAUAUUGUUGGUUGUUUGUUUGUCUUUGCACCGG